GACGAACGCUGGCGGCGUGCCUAAUACAUGCAAGUCGAGCGAGCUUGCCUAGAUGAAUUUGGUGCUUGCACCAGAUGAAACUAGAUACAAGCGAGCGGCGGACGGGUGAGUAACACGUGGGUAACCUGCCCAAGAGACUGGGAUAACACCUGGAAACAGAUGCUAAUACCGGAUAACAACACUAGACGCAUGUCUAGAGUUUAAAAGAUGGUUCUGCUAUCACUCUUGGAUGGACCUGCGGUGCAUUAGCUAGUUGGUAAGGCAACGGCUUACCAAGGCAAUGAUGCAUAGCCGAGUUGAGAGACUGAUCGGCCACAUUGGGACUGAGACACGGCCCAAACUCCUACGGGAGGCAGCAGUAGGGAAUCUUCCACAAUGGACGAAAGUCUGAUGGAGCAACGCCGCGUGAGUGAAGAAGGGUUUCGGCUCGUAAAGCUCUGUUGGUAGUGAAGAAAGAUAGAGGUAGUAACUGGCCUUUAUUUGACGGUAAUUACUUAGAAAGUCACGGCUAACUACGUG
rnacentral:rRNA from 1 species